UGCGGCUGGAUCACCUCCUUUCUAAGGAAGCUGUGGAAUUGGAAGACGAUCGGUUCGCCGAUAUGACCUUUCCCGUGCUUUUUAGAACAUAGAUGGCACCAGUCAGGUGACCAUCGAAACGUAAUACGCCGCAGAGGUGCUUGCACCCUGACGGUAUGGCGAGACCCGCCGUCCACGUUUCUCUUUCUCACAAGGAUACGGACCACGCCCGCUCACUUUGCGUCCACCGACGUUUAGGCCCCGGUAGCGUCACUUGACCCAGAACUGGGCCCGUAGCUCAGUUGGUUAGAGCACACGCUUGAUCAGCGUGGGGUCGGUAGUUCAAGUCUACCCGGGCCCACCAUUCGCGUGGUACUAGUCGUACACGCCAGUGGAUAAGCGUGACACUGAUCAGCACGUUCUAUCGGUCUGCACUGGUGCACACCAGUUAGCUAGCUUCAGUGAUGACUCGCGAAAGGUUAUCCGUUGGGGCUGUAGCUCAGCUGGGAGAGCAUUUGCUUUGCAAGCAGGGGGUCAGCGGUUCGAUCCCGUUUAGCUCCACCAGGUUUGGCUUUGUUGGAUGGCCAAUGCUUGAGGGUAUCUUUGGGGAAAAUAAAGUUUGCAUCGUCUCUGCUGAGAUGAUGCCUGUUCUGCUAAAAUUGUGAAGAGAAGAUAUGUCUGGAAGGUUCCAAGUGUUGGCGGCGAUUGUCGAAAGACGGUCGGUGUCGGCGUCCGAGCCCAGUCCUUUUGAAGCCAUCGAUGGUCUAGCCGACCGGAGAUGGAAGAGGGGCUGGAGGUAGGAGGGAAGUCUUGUCGUUCAGGGCAUGGAUGUUGUUGGGGUGUCCUUGGGGAUGCCCUUCUGGUGUUCAUGGCCGAUUGGUGUUGCCUGACCGCGCAUCACCCGGGGACGAGAUUCUUCGAGAAGCUGGUCUUAAGUUUGGGCCAAAGCGAAACGGCUCGGCGUGGUUCCAAUAAAGCGACCAAAUCGAACACGUCGAUGGCAUUUGAUUGGCUCGGUUGUAAAAGGUAACCGGGUUUUUGGACUGGCGGUGCGGCAUACGAAAGUUGCCCGCAUGGCCAGAUUUGGCACCCCUUCGAGUGCGAGCGAGAAGGAAAGGUUUGCCAAAUCCAAAUAAGGAUGAGCAUUGGCAAUGAGAACGAUCAAGUGUCAAACAGGCAUUUG
rnacentral:misc_RNA from 1 species